GUCAAACCCUAAGGUAAGGUAAGGUAAUGUAAGGAAAAGGACCCCUGGAUGGUUAAGUCCAGUCAAAGCCAACUAUCGAGUGCGGCACUCAUCUAGCUUCAGGCCGAGGGAGCCGGUGUUUGUCCACAGACAGCUUUCCUGGUCAUGUGGCCAGCAUGACUAAACCACUUCUGUCACAAAGGGACACCGUCACAGAAGCCAGAGCACACAGAAAUGCUGUUUACCUUCCCACUGCAGUGGUACCUAUUUAUCUACUUGCACUGGUAUACUUUUGAACUGCUAGGUUGGCAGGAGCUGGGACAGAGCAAUAGGAGCUCACCCCGUUGCACGGAUUUGAACUGCCAACCUUCUGAUCGGCAAGCCCAAAAGACUCAGUGAUUUAGAUCCCAGUGACACCCAUUCAUGGUCAGAUGGUCCAAGGGUUAAGGAGACCAGUGAUCAUGGGGUCAAGAGUCAAGACAAGCAGGAAGCAGCAAGGUAGGACCAGGAACUACAAGCAUUGUUAAAAGCAUCUGGCUGCUGCUAGAAGCUCUGCUUAAGAAGACUGAAGACAACUGGUUCUCAUCAGUGCCUUUUCCUCUGAAUCCUUGAAGGUUGAUCAGCUGCAGGUGGAGUCACUUCUUCCCCUUCAGGCUGAUGUUCAUCAGGCAAAGCUGACUUUUGGCGCAUGACAGUAGGGUUGGUAGGCAAAAUUCUGCACCACUGUUCCAUCACACCAGCCAUUACUGAUUGGAAGCUGCCUUUCCUACAGCCAUGCCUAUUCAAUCUAUAACGACUGAAACAACCAGCUAUUGACACUUACUCAUGGCUAUUUUUCAGAUAUCUCUCCAAGUUCAGGUGUUUGGCAGCCUUCCUUUGUUUUUCGCUGUCUUACACCAGGGGCAUCUAGUUGUUGCUGGUUUCCAUCUUCCAUCAGCCCCAACCAGAAUAGCCCAAUGGUCAGGGAUUUGGAGAAUUGUAAUUGAACAACAUAUAAAAAGGGCCACAGGUUUGCCACUCCUGUCUUACAUAAUUGCUCUCCACCUAUCACAGCUGGAGAUGUCAUUUAAACAACAACAACCUAGGUCUGAAAUGGAAGGCAAUAGAUUCAGCAAAACAUGAGUAUAGCAUACCUCUUGGUACCAGCUUUUCUGAUCUGAGAGAGUAUCCUAACAAAGUUUUUCCUUUGGGAUAUUCAGCUGCUUUUCAUUUCUUUAGUUUUAGAAAACAUCAAAUGUUUUGUUGCCUAGGUGGGAAUCCUAUAAAUAGGUAAUGCAAAGGUGACAGCUGCUUUCCAUGUACAUCUGAGUUUAUACCUGGUUUUCUUUUUAUGUUAAGAUAGCUUUUUUUUAAAAUGACAUCUCUAUCAAAACAGCUCAUUUGGAAAUGUCAGGUCUGCUUCUGAUAAGUCAUCAGUCAUGGUGAUUGGUGCUGACAGACACCCUGUAAUGGUACUGUGGUAUCUAAUAUACUAUACUGCAGUCUUUUGUAAUAUCAUAUUAUUUACUUUAUUCAGCCUGGCAUGAAAUCUCUCCUGGAGGAAAAUAAAGGGGAGGGGAGUAGAGAGGGAAUCAAUCCUUAGGAGGUCUUUCUGAUCUCCAUUUCCGGGAGCAAGAAUCCCACCCAUUUCAAUAUUGGCUUGGAGAAAUAAUUUAGAGGCUAGGAUGCAAGUUGAAAUUUGUGGUUUAAAUUGUCUUUAUUUUAGAUGACAGUGUGCUUUACACACUCCCACUCCCCUGAGUAGUAGGAAGUUCUAGGCUCGGUUUAUGUGCACAGGCUGGAUAUUUAUAUAGCAUUUUCCUUCUGAUGUUUAUUUUCAAAUUUACAAGUUGAAUAUAGGAAAGCAGGCAAGCACCAAGACAGACAGUGCUAAUCUUUAAAGCUGCAUCAGUUGGGGGGGGGGGGGAAUGUAGCCUUUGGAGCACCACCCACGCCUGCAAUCCACUGCUCCCUCCUCCUCCUCUGCUGGCUCUUCUUCGUCUUCGUCUUCUUCGUCUUCUUUCAGAUAGCUGCAAAACUGAUUCUUGUCCUCUAUAUUCCAAUUGCCAGAUCAUUUCUCUUCAGUUACUAUCCAAGCAGGGCAAAAUACCUAAUACUUCCACUUGUCAAAAGCCAUUAAAGAAACUUUUCUAGCCAUUAGUCCUCACUAAAAGCGUUAUCUUUAACAUGCAAAAGCAUAGAGAUAAUUGUUCACUUGGCACCACACCAAAUUCCUAUUACAAGUAAAUUAAAGUUAUAAAGCACCCUUAAAAGUUAGGGUUGUAAUUAAUUUUGGAUAGACCAAUCCAAACCUUCCUUGAACAGUAUGGGGGAAAGGGAUUGAACUGAACAGAGGUGUCCAUCCACACAGCUCUGCUGGCUGAGAUGACCUCUCACAAGUCACCAAACAGGUGAGCAGAAGGCUGACUUUCGGUGACUCUGCCAGAAGGGGACAGUGGGAAGCCCCCAAAUAGGGCAUUCUGGGGGCAAAGAGGGGGCUGGCCCAGGAUCUGCUGGAUUCUAAACCAUUCUCAUUGCUGUCAUGCAAUCCAAGCCCAAUGACAAUGCCAGCCUGAAGCUGGGGCAAGGAUCAGGCCCAAUCACCCUGCCUUCCCUUCCACCACGGCUGCUGUGAGCAGCCAGACUAGAGGUGCCAUAAUGGCUUCACCAUCCUGCCAAGCCUCACCAGUGCCCCAAAACACCUGAAUUGUGCCCUAAAACAUCUGGAGGCCACCAGGUUGAUGAAGGUUGUAAUAGGCAAUAUUCCACAAAGAAGAACAGAUGAGCAGGAAGUCUUAGAAACAGGUAAAGAGGCACAGAAUGAAUUUAUCAAAUAAAUGAAGAUGGAACCAGUGAACAUAUAAGGGAAAGACAAUAAAGCCCUGAUAUUUAGGAAGUCCCAAAUUAGGAGAUAGAAAAACAAACAAACCAAAGAGACUGAACAAUAAAACAGAAAAUAUAACUUUUAUUGUUAAAGCAUACUAGAUGGAAGCAUAAUAGUUUGUUUGUAUGCCUCCACUUGUGACACUGAAAACAGCCUGGUCAAGUCUUGAAAUAUCAACCAUUGGAAUGGAGAUGUUAGACAACCUGCUUAAAGAGAUGAUGCCACCUUAGGACUUAAUUGACAGAGGAGUUGCAUCUUGGUAGGCUUCGUGCAGUGCAGACUGGUGGCAGACGAGUCACUAAAGGAGGACUCAAAACAAGAUCCAGCCCACAUGAAGAAUAGAUGCCAAACGUCUGCUGUUUUCUUUGAAAGAGGAAAAAGCAACAUCUGGUACUUGAUGACUGACUGUGAAGUAAUCCACCUCCAGAAGACCUCUUGAGAGUAGUCUUGGAAAAGAGUUGCGAAGGCUUCUAGGAAACAUCCUGAAAUCCUUCUAGGGAUUGCUUACAUUGAGACUUUCCCCCCACAUCUAUGGUGGUGACCCAUGUUGAGUGUUGAACAAACUAGGCUAAAAUAAUAGAUAAUUGGGAAUAAUUAAAUUUAUCCAGAGGUGAUCCAAGUUGGGCGCUGGGAUUGUCAGGUCACAAGUGAAGAAAAAGGCUUCUGUCUAGGCUCAGACUCAAAAAGGAAAGAUGAACAGAAACCAAAAGGGCAAAACUUCCAAAAAUGCAGGCAGCUGUGUUGCCAUACUCCCCACAAACAGCAGCUUUACAGCACACAACACCCAAUUUAUUAGGUAAUCUUAUGCACAGUUGGCUAAGAUUGCAUGACUAGAGUCCUCUACAUAGAUACUUGGGAGUAAGCGUCAUUCAAUUCAGUGGUGCAUUUUUCUGACUGGACAGGUUAUUAUUGUUGUCAACACCCUCAGAAAAUUCUAAUAGGUUAAUAAGACAUAAUUUACCCUUGCAGAAGCUAUGCUAGUUCUGUUUCAGAAAGGCAUGUUUUUCUAUAUGCUUGGUAAUUUGAUCUUUAAAAACAUUUUCCAUGAGUUUCCUUGGAGCAGGUGCUAAGCUAAAUGGCCUGUAAUUUACACGAUCCACCAUGGAUCCCCCUUUAAAAGUUGAUCUUACAAUGGCUAUUUUCCAGUCCUCCAGUAUGGAGACUGAUCUUGGGGACAAGUUACAUAUAUUUGUUAGAAUUUCAAAAAGUUCACAUUUGAGUUAUUUAAGAACUCCCAGGUGGAUGUCACCUGGACCGGUGAUUUGUCAGUUUUUACUUUGUCAGUAAGGCCUAGAACAUCUAUUGUCAAUAGUAUUUGCCUCAGUUCCUCAGAAGUCAUAAAGUGCUGUGAGUUCUUUGGAUUUGAGCCAGCUUUUGACAUACUUAAUAUUAUAUUUGGAAAUAUAUUUAUUCUUAACCUGGCUUUGGACUGGUUUUUUAAAAAUUUGGUUACCCACUCUUAGCCUUAAGAACGAGGUGAGCCAAGAAUCUAGGUAAUGACAAUGCUAUAGUACUACAAUACUGAGACAGUUAGGCCCAUUUGUGCAAUUUGACAGGAUAAAGAAGAUUUUUCUCCUCUGCCUUUAAUAGAAUGAUAAACAGUGUACAUGGAGCUGAGGGAGGGAGGGGGGACAUUUCAGUUGAAAGAGUGCCAAAUUUACAAAGAUGAGCCAGGCUCUGGCAUUGAGAUUGGAAGCCUGGUGGGUAUCAGCUUGUCUGAUGCCAGAACAACAUUCCCAGAAUGCACCAGUUCUGUCAUGCUGGUAUGCUUGAACUUAUGAUUCUGUUGCCAUUAGUCAAGCUGUGAUUGGAAUCAUAAAACACAGGUGGGGUGCUCUGUUCACACAGUCCCCACAUUAGCUUGUGGUCGAUGUGGGGGGAAAUAUUAAACCUCUGAAAAGAGGGAUAUCUGGAUACAGCGCAUAAAUUCCCCUCUCUUCUCUUUGUAGGACUGGGAACAGAUCCAAUCUUAAAAGGCAGGACAAACUGUUCAUAAAAGGACAGAUGCAGUCAGAAGGAUGGAGUAUGCCUUUAAUGUAUUAUUUGCUUAACAACUGCCUGAGAUGCCAUUAGUGGUUCUGUCUGCUCCAUCUCCAGAGCUUGGAAGGUGUAGUGAAUCUUGCACAUUAGAGCAUGAUGUUUACUACAGGUUGGUGUGUUUACACUACCACAGUCCAAAAUAUUACAGCCUAGGAUGGGGACUUUCUUGGGUAGUUGGGGGACAGACAGACCAAAAGUAGAUGGAAGAUAAUCACUGUUAAAGGUCUUAAAUUGGCAUUUGAAUUUUCCACCUUGGGUAGAAGUUCUGCAUGAUUCAAACAGCUGUCUACAACUCAGGAC